UACGGAGGAUGCAAGCGUUAUUCGGAUUUAUUGGGUUUAAAGGGUGCGCAGGUUGUUUGAUAAGUCAGUGGUGAAAGUCUGUCGCUUAACGGUAGGAUUGCCAUUGAUACUGUUGGACUUGAAUAUGGAUGAGGUAGGCGGGAUGUGUAGUGUAGCGGUGAAAUGCAUAGAUAUUACACAGAACACCGAUUGCGAAGGCAGCUUACUAAUCCAUCAUUGACGCUGAGGCACGAAAGCGUGGGGAUCAAACA
rnacentral:rRNA from 1 species